rnacentral:tRNA from 1 species
ACAUCUUAAGCUAAAUGGUUCAGCAGUGGCCUUCGGAGCUAUCAUUAAUUGGUUCGAAUCCAAUAAGAUGCG